ensembl:snoRNA SNORA70 Small nucleolar RNA SNORA70
CUGCAGCCAAUUAAGCCGACUGUGCUCUUUCCCCGUGGGGCCCAGUGUGCAAUGGCUGCGCACAGCAGCCUCCUUGGUAGUGUAUGCAGCCUGUUGAUUGUACGGGUUGCCCUAAGGGACCUUGGAGACAGCU